UUGCUGCAGCACUUGCUGCUGCUGCUGCUGCUGCUGCAGCACUUGCUGCUGCAGCACUUGCUGCUGCUGCUGCUGCUGCAGCACUUGCUGCUGCAGUACUUGCUGCUGCAGUACUUGCUGCAGCAGUACUUGCUGCUGCAGUAUUUGCUGCUGCAGUAUUUGCUGCUGCAGCAGUUGCUGCUGCAGCAGCUGCUGCUGCAGCAGCUGCUGCUGCAGCACUUGCUGCAGCAGCAAGCUGCACACGAUG
rnacentral:sRNA from 1 species